AACGAACGCUGGCGGCAUGCCUAACACAUGCAAGUCGAACGAGAUCUUCGGGUCUAGUGGCGCACGGGCGCGUAACGCGUGGGAAUCUGCCCUUUGGUUCGGAAUAACAGUUGGAAACGACUGCUAAUACCGGAUGAUGACGAAAGUCCAAAGAUUUAUCGCCAGAGGAUGAGCCCGCGUAGGAUUAGCUAGUUGGUGUGGUAAAGGCGCACCAAGGCGACGAUCCUUAGCUGGUCUGAGAGGAUGAUCAGCCACACUGGGACUGAGACACGGCCCAGACUCCUACGGGAGGCAGCAGUGGGGAAUGUUGGACAAUGGGCGAAAGCCUGAUCCAGCAAUGCCGCGUGAGUGAUGAAGGCCUUAGGGUUGUAAAGCUCUUUUACCCGGGAUGAUAAUGACAGUACCGGGAGAAUAAGCUCCGGCUAACUCCGUGCCAGCCGCCGCAGUAA
rnacentral:rRNA from 1 species